GACGAAGGAUCCAAGCGUUGUCCGGAUUUACUGGGUUUAAAGGGUGCGUAGGCGGACCUUUAAGUCAGUGGUGAAAUCCCGCAGCUCAACUGCGGAACUGCCAUUGAAACUGAAGGUCUUGAAUAUGGUUGAGGUAGAUGGAAUAUAACAUGUAGCGGUGAAAUGCUUAGAUAUGUUAUAGAACACCGAUUGCGAAGGCAGUCUGCUAAGCCAUCAUUGACGCUGAGGCACGAAAGCGUGGGGAGCAAACAGG
rnacentral:rRNA from 1 species